rnacentral:rRNA from 1 species
AGUCAAGAGAUCCUGCGCCGAAAAUGUCCGGGGCUCAAACUUACCACCGAAGCUACGGGUUCACGCUUAUGCGUGAGCGGUAGAGGAGCGUCGUAAUCGGGCUGAAGUCGUACCGUAAGGAGCGGUGGACUGAUUACGAGUGAGAAUGUUGGCAUUAGUAGCGAGAUGUAGGCGAGAAUCCUACAGGCCGAAUAUCUAAGGUUUCCUGAGUAAAGUUUGUCUUCUCAGGGUUAGUCGGGACCUAAGGCGAGGCCGAAAGGCGUAGUCGAUGGACAAUUGGUUGAUAUUCCAAUACCACAUAAUCGUUAUUAUCGAUGGUGUGACGGAGAAGGAUAGGAUGUGCUAGCUAUUGGAUGCUAGUCUAAGCGUUUAGGGAGUUGGGAUUGGCAAAUCCGUUCCAACAAUUCUGAGGCGUGAUGGGGAAGGUUCUACGGAACCGAAGUAUCUGAUUCCAUGCUUCCAAGAAAAGCAUCUAGAGAGAGAAGUAGUGCCCGUACCGCAAACCGACACAGGUAGAUGAGGAGAGAAUCCUAAGGCCGACGGAAGAAUUGCAGUUAAGGAACUAGGCAAAUUGACCCCGUAACUUCGGGAGAAGGGGUGCCUGAGAAAUCAGGCCGCAGAGAAUAGGCACAGCAACUGUUUAACAAAAACCAGGUCUCUGCUAAAGCGAAAGCUGAUGUAUAGGGGCUGACGCCUGCCCGGUGCUGGAAGGUUAAGGGGAACACUUAGUGGUAACGCGAAGGUGUGAACUUAAGCCCCAGUAAACGGCGGCCGUAACUAUAACGGUCCUAAGGUAGCGAAAUUCCUUGUCAGGUAAGUUCUGACCCGCACGAAUGGCGUAAUGACUUGUGCACUGUCUCAACUGCAAAUCCGGCGAAGUUGUAGUGCGAGUGAAGAUGCUCGCUACCCGCGAUUGGACGGAAAGACCCCGUAGAGCUUUACUGUAGCUUAGCAUUGAAUUUCGGUAUUGUCUGUACAGGAUAGGUGGGAGACUGGGAAACUAGGGCGUCAGCCUUGGUGGAGUCGUUGUUGGGAUACCACCCUGAUAGUAUUGAAGUUCUAACUGGAUGCCAUGAAACUGGUGACAGGACAUUGUUAGGUGGGCAGUUUGACUGGGGCGGUCGCCUCCUAAAAUGUAACGGAGGCGCCCAAAGGUUCCCCAGAACGGUCGGAAAUCGUUCGAAGAGUGUAAAGGCAGAAGGGAGCCUGACUGCGACACCUACAAGUGGAGCAGGGACGAAAGUCGGGCUUAGUGAUCCGGUGGUACCUCGUGGGAGGGCCAUCGCUCAACGGAUAAAAGCUACCUCGGGGAUAACAGGCUGAUCUCCCCAAGAGUUCACAUCGACGGGGAGGUUUGGCACCUCGAUGUCGGCUCGUCGCAUCCUGGGGCUGAAGUAGGUCCCAAGGGUUGGGCUGUUCGCCCAUUAAAGCGGCACGCGAGCUGGGUUCAGAACGUCGUGAGACAGUUCGGUCCCUAUCCGUCGCGGGCGUAGGAAAUUUGAGAGGAGCUGUCCUUAGUACGAGAGGACCGGGAUGGACUGACCUAUGGUGUACCAGUUGUUUCGCCAGAAGCAUAGCUGGGUAGCUAAGUCGGGAAGGGAUAAACGCUGAAAGCAUCUAAGUGUGAAGCCCACCUCAAGAUGAGAUUUCCCAUAGCAUAAGCUAGUAAGACCCUUGAAGACUACAAGGUUGAUAGGUCAGAGGUGUAAGUGCGGCAACGUAUUUAGCUGACUGAUACUAAUAGGUCGAGGGCUUGACCAA